rnacentral:rRNA from 1 species
UACGUAGGGUGCAAGCGUUAAUCGGAAUUACUGGGCGUAAAGCGUGCGCAGGCGGUUUUGUAAGUUUGUCGUGAAAUCCCCGGGCCUCAACCUGGGAAUGGCGAUGAAGACUGCAAGGCUAGAAUCUGGCAGAGGGGGGUAGAAUUCCACGUGUAGCAGUGAAAUGCGUAGAGAUGUGGAGGAACACCGAUGGCGAAGGCAGCCCCCUGGGCCAAUACUGACGCUCAUGCACGAA